AACGAACGCUGGCGGCAGGCUUAACACAUGCAAGUCGAACGCGUGUAGCAAUACACGAGUGGCGCACGGGAGAGUAACGCGUGGGAACCUACCCUUUGGUCUGGAAUAACUUCGGGAAACUGAUGCUAAUACCGGAUAAUCCCUAUGGGGCAAAGAUUUAUUGCCGAAGGAUGGGCCCGCGUUGGAUUAGCUAGUUGGUGAGGUAAUGGCUCACCAAGGCUACGAUCUAUAGCUGAUCUGAGAGGAUGAUCAGCCUCAUUGGGACUGAGACACGGCCCAGACUCCUACGGGAGGCAGCAGUGGGGAAUAUUGGACAAUGGGGGAAACCCUGAUCCAGCCAUGCCGCGUGAGUGAUGAAGGCCUUCGGGUUGUAAAGCUCUUUUAGGUGGGACGAUAAUGACGGUACCACCAGAAUAAGCUCCGGCUAACUUCGUGCCAGCCGCCGCCGUAA
rnacentral:rRNA from 1 species